GACUGGUUUAAUGAGCCAUUCGCAGUUUCACUGUAUAAUGCUUAUACUUAGACAUGCAUGGCUUAAUCUUUGAGACGAGCGUAUGACUACUGGCAGAAUCAACCAGAUUACAAAAAACAACACGCAAUGAAUACAAAAACUACCAGUUCACCCUUCGGAUGAUCACUCAUGGUUUUGAUUCAGGUGGGAUUAUAUUUCUUUUCAGGCGAUCUGAUUCCUUUACUCUGGGUUUAUCACAGCCAAAGCCAAAAUUCUCACAGAUCACCCUAUGUAACCAAUAUUUAGGAAAGCAUACAUACAUGUGUACCUUCCAAGGAUGAGUAAAUCACCCAUUAUUUGCGUUCCCCAUUUUCAAAUAGAAUCAGCAUAACCAAACACAUGCUAUAACUUGAUUGUACAAAACCGUGCGGUAAUAUAGACCAAGCUGCAUGUGUUUGAGAUGCAUGAUGUUCUGUUGAAUUGUUGGUGUUCAAAAACAACCAACAAAUCCUACAAGAACCAUUCAAUUUAUGAUAGUAUGUUUAUUGCUUCCGUGUAUUCACGUUCGCUUGAUAUACUACCCACAUACCAAAGUGUUGGCAGUCAAGAAGACUACCUCUACAGUUUUGGGGCGAAAGACUACUCAGUUAGGGCGAAAGACUACUUAGUCAUUUGCCCAAGACUACUUAGUCAUUUGCCCAAGGCAUCCAAGUUGGCAACAAAUUAUAAUUUCUUUCAGGCGAUCACAGAUAACCCUAUGAACUUAUAAUCAAUCUACGGGUUUCCAUCUGAAUCACUCUGCAAGAGAAGAGGCGCAGGCGAUCUGAUUCCUGACUUUGGGUUUAUCCCAGCCGAAGUUCAGUUUAAAAGAUCUCAGGAACCCUUCAGUUCGACGCCAGGCACGAAGGGGUAGGCCGUGUCCUUGGGAUAGUCUCUAGAUAACAUCUAGGAGACAAUAAGACCCAAGGAGCGCCAUCCAUUUCGCUAUGAAGCAUUUUGUCGACCAAAAGACCCUUUUUGCAACCUAACCCAGUACAAAGUAAAGGGAAAUACCCAGGAAUCGAAAUUUUUUUCCAAUCAUCUGCAUCACUCUGCAAGAGAUUAGGCGCACUCGUUCUACUCCUGACCGAAGGUCAGUUCAUAAUAGAUCUCAGGAACCCUUCAGUGGACAAAUAAGCAGGAAAAGGAUAAUCCUCUCCUUGGGAUUGUCUCUACCAAAUAGUCUAACCAUAUUGAAAAUAUAGUUGGAGGUAAGGCAUUUUGAGACAAUUUUAACCCAAGGAGCGCCAUACCAUUUCGCACUCGUCGACCAAAAGACCCUUUUUGCGGACCCCAACCCAGUACAAAGUAAGGGAAAUAACCAGGAAUCGAAAUUUCUUUCCAAAAACCACAAAAUAAUUCGUGGUUUUAAAGUCAGAAUCAAUGAUUCAUAUUGUAGGCAAUCAAUCCCCAGGUCCAAACACACCCAAGAAAAACAUUUCGUGGUAGCGUGUGUCUGAAAAAGGGCAAAAGACUACCCGGAUUUUGUAGAUAAUCACAACCUCUGUGAAAAGGUGCCCAGGUGUCACUUUCACACUCUCCAAAUUGAAUUUGAAGCUUACUAAUGCGGUCUGAACUCCAACCGAUCCAAAUACACCCAGGAAAAUAAUUUCGUGGUAGCGUGUUUAUGAAAAGGUCCAAUUGAUUACCUGCAAAUGAUUACUGAUCGUAGUGCACAGGUCCAAAUGCGUUGUUCACGAAUAAAUUCGUGGCAGCGCGCAUCUGAACAAGGGCAAAUGACUACCCAAAAAAGGGUACGAAACCACAAUCAAGCAAAAACCAUGCUACUUUUAGUAUCUAAAAGUUGCUUACCCGUUUUUACUAUCUACCCUGUGGUAUGACUAAAGUACGAUUCUGACCACUAUGUGGCGCGCAUCUUACUCUCAUCAUCAAUUCUCUAGAUUACUGAACAUACAAAGGCAUAAAUGCCCUCCCCUCGUACUCGAGAAGAAGGAGUUAUAAUCUGCACAAAGUACGAAACUAAACAUCAAGCAAAAAUAGUGGCGUACUUUCCUCGAAAAGUACGCCAAAAUAAUCACGAAUCAUAGUUGAUAAAAAGUACGAAAAGCACACCUUUUCCUAAAAGUACGAUUUCGUACUUUUCCUAAAAGUACGAUUUCGUACUUUCGUACUUUU
rnacentral:rRNA from 1 species